CGGCAGCACGGAGAGCUUGCUCUCUGGUGGCGAGUGGCGAACGGGUGAGUAAUAUAUCGGAACGUGUCCAAUAAUGGGGGAUAACGAGUCGAAAGAUUCGCUAAUACCGCAUACGCCCUACGGGGGAAAGCAGGGGAUCGUAAGACCUUGCGUUAAUGGAGCGGCCGAUAUCUGAUUAGCUUGUUGGUGAGGUAAAGGCUCACCAAGGCGACGAUCAGUAGCUGGUUUGAGAGAACGACCAGCCACACUGGAACUGAGACACGGUCCAGACUCCUACGGGAGGCAGCAGUGGGGAAUUUUGGACAAUGGGGGCAACCCUGAUCCAGCCAUUCCGCGUGAGUGAAGAAGGCCUUCGGGUUGUAAAGCUCUUUCGCAAGGGAAGAAAACUUAUGAUCGAAUAAAUCAUGAGGUUGACGGUACCUUGAUAAGAAGCACCGGCUAACUACGUGCCAGCAGCCGCGGUAAUACGUAGGGUGCGAGCGUUAAUCGGAAUUACUGGGCGUAAAGCGUGCGC
rnacentral:rRNA from 1 species